rnacentral:rRNA from 1 species
CAAUAGCGUAUAUUUAAGUUGUUGCAGUUAAAAAGCUCGUAGUUGGAUUUCGGAUGGGAUUUGCCGGUCCGUCGUUACGAUGUGCACUGGCCAGUCCUAUCUUGUUGUCGGGGACUAGCUCCUUGGAUUCACUUCCUGGGACUAGGAGCUGACGAGGUUACUUUGAGUAAAUUAGAGUGUUCAAAGCAAGCCUACGCUCUGAAUACAUUAGCAUGGAAUAACACGAUAGGACUCUGGCUUAUCUUGUUGGUCUGUGAGACCAGAGUAAUGAUUAAGAGGGACAGUCGGGGGCAUUCGUAUUCCGUUGUCAGAGGUGAAAUUCUUGGAUUUACGGAAGACGAACAUCUGCGAAAGCAUUUGCCAAGGAUGUUUUCAUUGA